rnacentral:rRNA from 1 species
AUUGAACGCUGGCGGCAGGCCUAACACAUGCAAGUCGAACGAGUGGCGGACGGGUGAGUAAUGUCUGGGAAACUGCCCGAUGGAGGGGGAUAACUACUGGAAACGGUAGCUAAUAACGCAUACCAUCGGAUGUGCCCAGAUGGGAGUAGCUAGUAGGGGGGGUAACGGCUAACCUCGGCGACGAUCCCUAGCUGGUCUGAGAGGAUGACCAGACAGACUGGAACUGAGACACGGUCCAGACUCCUACGGGAGGCCGCAGGGGGGAAUAUUGCACAAGGGGCGCAAGCCUGAGGCAGCCAUGCCGCGUGUAUGAAGAAGGCCUUCGGGUUGUAAAGUACUUUCAGCGAGGAGGCGUUACUCGCAGAAGAAGCACCGGCUAACUCCGUGCCAGCAGCCGCGGUAAUUC